CGGAAUUACUGGGCGUAAAGCGUGCGUAGGCGGUUCGUUAAGUCAGAUGUGAAAGCCCUGGGCUCAACCUGGGAACUGCAUUUGAAACUGGCGGACUAGAGUUUAGUAGAGGGGAGUGGAAUUUCAGGUGUAGCGGUGAAAUGCGUAGAUAUCUGAAGGAACACCAGUGGCGAAGGCGACUCCCUGGACUAGAACUGACGCUGAGGUACGAAAGCGUGGGUAGCAAACAGGAUUAGAUACCCUGGUAGUCCACGCCGUAAACGAUGUCGACUAGCCGUUGGUCCUAUUUACAGGAUUAGUGGCGCAGCUAACGCAUUAAGUCGACCGCCUGGGGAGUACGGCCGCAAGGUUAAAACUCAAAUGAAUUGACGGGGGCCCGCACAAGCGGUGGAGCAUGUGGUUUAAUUCGAUGCAACGCGAAGAACCUUACCUACCCUUGACAUCCAGAGAAUCUGUUAGAGAUAGUAGAGUGCCUUCGGGAGCUCUGAGACAGGCGCUGCAUGGCUGUCGUCAGUUCGUGUCGUGAGAUGUUGGGUUAAGUCCCGUAACGAGCGCAACCCUUAUCCUUAGUUGCCAGCGGGUAAUGCCGGGAACUCUAGGGAGACUGCCGGUGAUAAACCGGAGGAAGGUGGGGACGACGUCAAGUCAUCAUGGCCCUUAUGGGUAGGGCUACACACGUGCUACAAUGGCCGGUACAGAGGGCUGCGAACUUGCGAAAGUAAGCAAAUCCCAGAAAGCCGGUCCUAGUCCGGAUUGGAGUCUGCAACUCGACUCCAUGAAGUCGGAAUCGCUAGUAAU
rnacentral:rRNA from 1 species